GGUAUGACUGGUCUCGCUGAUCCCUCCUUUCUGAAGAACUGUAAUGUCAUUAAUUUGGUGUUGCAGGGAAACAGGACUGUUACUUUGAAAAAAUUAGAGUGUUUAAAGCAGGCUAACGCUUGAAUACAUUAGCAUGGAAUAAUGAAAUAGGACGUUCAAACCUAUUUUGUUGGUUUCUAGGAUUGACGUAAUGAUUAAUAGGGAUAGUUGGGGGCAUUAGUAUUCAAUUGUCAGAGGUGAAAUUCUUGGAUUUAUUGAAGACUAACUACUGCGAAAGCAUUUGCCAAGGAUGUUUUCAUUAAUCAAGAACGAAAGUUAGGGGAUCGAAGACGAUCAGAUACCGUCGUAGUCUUAACCAUAAACUAUGCCGACUAGGGAUCGGAUGAUGUUAAUUUUUUAAUGACUCAUUCGGCGCCUUACG
rnacentral:rRNA from 1 species